UACGGGGGGAGCAAGCGUUGUUCGGAUUUACUGGGCGUAAAGGGCGCGUAGGCGGUCGUGACAAGUCACUUGUGAAAUCUCCGGGCUUAACUCGGAACGGUCAGAUGAUACUGCUUUGCUCGAGUGCGGAAGGGGCAAUCGGAAUUCUUGGUGUAGCGGUGAAAUGCGUAGAUAUCAAGAGGAACACCUGCGGCGAAGGCGGGUUGCUGGGCCGACACUGACGCUGAGGCGCGAAAGCCAGGGGAGCGAACGGG
rnacentral:rRNA from 1 species